CCGCAACUGCAGCCUCAAGAAACGCGGGGAGGGGAUAAGGUAAACCACCAGCAUCAACAACCGACUGAGUGUAAUGCGCAACAGCAGCACGAAGCGGUACCAAGCCCCUACGGAUGGCUGCAAAAAAUAAAGCCAGAGAGCUUGCGUGAUGAACUCACUUCGACCACUAGGGUGGAGCUCUCGUAAGAUCAGACGGAUGGAGGUGAGAGCUUGCUCGAUAGAUU
rnacentral:lncRNA from 1 species